rnacentral:rRNA from 1 species
CCCCUAGAUGUUCUGGGCUGCACGCGCGCUACACUGAACAGUUCAACAAGUCUUAACCUUGGCCGAUAGGUCUGGGUAAUCUUUGAACGCUGUUCGUGAUUGGGAUAGACCUUUGCAAUUAUGGGUCUUCAACGAGGAAUUCCUAGUAAACGCAAGUCAUCAGCUUGCAUUGAUUACGUCCCUGCCCUUUGUACACACCGCCCGUCGCACCUACCGAUUGAAUGGUCCGGUGAAAUCUCGGGACGGCGGCUCGGUCGCUUGCGUCCGACUGCUGAAACUUGAUUAAACCAUAUCAUUUAGAGGAAGGUGAAGUCGUAACA